rnacentral:rRNA from 1 species
AGCGAACGCUGGCGGCAGGCCUAACACAUGCAAGUCGAACGAACCUUUCGGGGUUAGUGGCGGACGGGUGGGUAACACGUGGGAACGUGCCUUUAGGUUCGGAAUAACUCAGGGAAACUUGUGCUAAUACCGAAUGUGCCCUUCGGGGGGAAGAUUAAUCGCCUUUAGAGCGGCCCGCGUCUGAUUAGCUAGUUGGUUGAGGUAAUGGCUCACCAAGGCGACGAUCAGUAGCUGGUCUGAGAGGAUGAUCAGCCACAUUGGGACUGAGACACGGACCAAACUCCUACGGGAGGCAGCAGUGGGGAAUCUUGCGCAAUGGGCGAAAGCCUGACGCAGCCAUGCCGCGUGAAUGAUGAAGGUCUUAGGAUUGUAAAAUUCUUUCACCGGGGACGAUAAUGACGGUACCCGGAGAAGAAGCCCCGGCUAACUUCGUG